rnacentral:rRNA from 1 species
UACGUAGGGUGCAAGCGUUACUCGGAAUUACUGGGCGUAAAGCGUGCGCAGGCGGUUUUGUAAGUCUGUCGUGAAAUCCCCGGGCUUAACCUGGGAAUGGCGAUGGAGACUGCAAGGCUAGAGUUUGGCAGAGGGGGGUAGAAUUCCGCGUGUAGCAGUGAAAUGCGUAGAGAUGUGGAGGAACACCGAUGGCGAAGGCAGCCCCCUGGGUUAACACUGACGCUCAUGCACGAAAGCGUGGGGAGCAAACAGG